UACGGAGGGUGCAAGCGUUAUCCGGAUUUACUGGGCUUAAAGGGUGUGUAGGCGGGCUUUUAAGUCAGUGGUGAAAUCUCCGGGCUCAACCUGGAAACUGCCAUUGAUACUAUUAGUCUUGAAUUUUGUUGAGGUAGGCGGAAUAAGUCAUGUAGCGGUGAAAUGCAUAGAUAUGACUUAGAACACCAAUUGCGAAGGCAGCUUGCUAAACAAAUAUUGACGCUGAGGCACGAAAGCGUGGGGAUCAAACAGG
rnacentral:rRNA from 1 species